ensembl:lncRNA
GUAAGUGUGACUGCCAAUAGCUUAACAGCUUAAUAUAGCCUAUUGAGUAAUAUUCAUGUAAAAGUUUAGUAUUCUCUGCGAACCGACUCGGAUCUCGGAUCUGACGCCACGCCCACACUUCAAGCGUUUUAUUAUUUCGCUCGGUCGUUGGAGGAAAACAUGGACGCCAACCGGAAAGAUGUUGUCGCGGUAGCAUUGGCAGAGUACCAAAAUAGGAAUCGAACCGGUGUCUCCAGAACAGAUCCUCAACAGCUCUAUCACCUGCGCCACAGAGACACCAACUUAGAAUCGGAGAGAGUUAAUUGUUGACCCUACAAUACACAUGACAUUGUUGGAAAAAGACUCCAAACCAAGGAAUCGAACCGGUGUCUCCAGAACAGAUCCUCAACAGCUCUAUCACCUGCGCCACAGAGACACCGACUUACAAACGGAGAGAGUUAAUUGUUGACCCUACAACAUUGUUGGAAAAAGACUCCAAUCCAAGGUGAGUGUUCCUGACAGGAUUUGAACCAAGGUCAUAUACACGACUCAAGAACAGAACACAUACAGCUCUAUCCACUGCCCCACUGGGUCAGU